rnacentral:rRNA from 1 species
AAGCCUGAUCCAGCAAUGCCGCGUGUGUGAAGAAGGCCUUCGGGUUGUAAAGCACUUUCAGUGGGGAGGAUAAUGACGUUACCCACAGAAGAAGCACCGGCUAACUCUGUGCCAGCAGCCGCGGUAAUA